rnacentral:rRNA from 1 species
GUUAGGAAUAUUGGACAAUGGGCGCAAGCCUGAUCCAGCCAUGCCGCGUGAACGAUGAAGGCCUUCGGGUUGUAAAGUUCUUUAGCCGAUGAUUAUAAUGACUGUAGUCGGAAAAUAAGCCCCGGCUAACUUCGUGCCAGCAGCCGCGGUAAUACGAAGGGGGCGAGCGUUAUUCGGAAGCAAUGGGCGUAAAGCGUGCGUAGGCGGUCUCGUAAGUUAGGAGUGAAAGCCCAGGGCUCAACCUUGGAAUUGCUCUUAAAACUGCAAGGCUAGAAUCUCGGAGAGGAUAGCGGAAUUUCCAGUGUAGCAGUGAAAUGCGUAGAUAUUGGAAGGAACACCAGUGGCGUAAGCGGCUAUCUCUACUAUUAUUGUCGCUGAGGCACGAUCGCGUGGGGAUCAAACAGGAUUAGAUACCCCAGUAGUCC